rnacentral:rRNA from 1 species
AGAGUUUGAUCAUGGCUCAGGAUGAACGCUGGCGGCGUGCCUAACACAUGCAAGUCGAGCGAUUUCUUCGGAGAAGAGCGGCGGACGGGUGAGUAACGCGUGGGUAACCUGCCCUGUACACACGGAUAACAUACCGAAAGGUAUGCUAAUACGAGAUAAUAUGCUUUAUCGCAUGGUAGAAGUAUCAAAGCUUUUGCGGUACAGGAUGGACCCGCGUCUGAUUAGCUAGUUGGUAAGGUAACGGCUUACCAAGGCGACGAUCAGUAGCCGACCUGAGAGGGUGAUCGGCCACAUUGGAACUGAGACACGGUCCAAACUCCUACGGGAGGCAGCAGUGGGAAUAUUGCACAAUGGGCGUAAGCCUGAUGCGGCAACGCCGCGUGAGCGAUGAAGGCCUUCGGGUCGUAAAGCUCUGUCCUCAAGGAAGAUAAUGACGGUACUUGAGGAGGAAGCCCCGGCUAACUACGUG